rfam:Synechococcus sp. WH 8102 complete genome.
UAGCGUUGACCCGGAUCUUCCGGAUGCAGUUCGUUCCGGGCCAUGCAACGGGGGCCAGGA